UCUGUACUCCCUCCAUCCCAAAAUUAUUGUCUUAAAUUUGUCUAGAUACGGAUGUAUCUAGUUACAUUUUAGUAUUAGAUACAUCCGUAUCUAAACAAAUGUAAGACAAGAAUUUUGGGACGAAGGGAAUACUAC
rnacentral:pre_miRNA from 1 species